UACGUAGGGCGCGAGCGUUAUCCGGAAUUAUUGGGCGUAAAGAGCUCGUAGGCGGUUUGUCACGUCUGCUGUGAAAACUGGAGGCUCAACCUCCAGCCUGCAGUGGGUACGGGCAGACUAGAGUGCGGUAGGGGAGAUUGGAAUUCCUGGUGUAGCGGUGGAAUGCGCAGAUAUCAGGAGGAACACCGAUGGCGAAGGCAGAUCUCUGGGCCGUAACUGACGCUGAGGAGCGAAAAGCUGGGGGAGCGAACAGG
rnacentral:rRNA from 1 species